UAGGGAAUCUUCCACAAUGGACGAAAGUCUGAUGGAGCAACGCCGCGUGAGUGAAGAAGGGUUUCGGCUCGUAAAACUCUGUUGUUAAAGAAGAACAUAUCUGAGAGUAACUGUUCAGGUAUUGACGGUAUUUAACCAGAAAGCCACGGCUAGCUACGUGCCA
rnacentral:rRNA from 1 species